AAAAUGGACAUAAAGCUACGGAAGAUCGUCUAUUUUGAGUUGCUCAUAUUCCUUUCUUUCUCUCACUACUCCUACAAUACACCCUUUCCCUCUCCUCUCCGUCUCCCAAGUGCGUCUUCCUCAACCUCCGACGCAUUCUUCCGUGAACCCCGUCAUUCUCAGGUGUUCCUGGGUGUCGGAAAUGUAGUCGGAUACAUAUUCGGAUAUUUGUUUUUAAAACUCUCGGUUAUGCAUGGUUAUUGGAGCAGGGACAAUUCUUUCUUUCUGCUUCUCUGUCGUUGCAUUUUUUAUGCCUGAGUCGCCUUAUUGGUUGAUCAUGAAAGUUCAACAGGCUGAUGCCGGGCUGGUUCUUGGAAAAAUAUCAAAUAGCAAGGAAGAGGCUAAGUUAGGGCUUAAAGAAAGAGAAAAUAGAGGAGCAUGGACAGGAUUUAUUAGUAAUCAUUCUGUUUCUUACAUCUUGAUAUGCACCAUUUGUAUUCAUCUAUUCCCAGCUGCAGCUCAUAUAGGUGUUAUUGUCUUGUAUGGACGUGUGAUCUUCGAUAUCAUGGGUGUUCACUCAUUAGAAAGCAGCUUAAUAUCCAACGUAGUUCUCGGGUGUAUCAAGACUUCGUUUACUUUUAGUGGCUAUGUUUUCCAUUGAUCGAAAACAUUCAAGCUUGAGUUGUGCUUCUCCUCCUUUUUAUCCUUCCAGAUCUUCAAAUAAAGACAGUACUUGAAGUCAAAAAAGGUAUAUAUGGUGCAAGCACGAGCAAGAAUCUUCACACUCCUGUUAUAGAUGAGAAUUUUCCUAUGCAACAAAACAGUGCAUUGGUGCUGGGGAAGUCUAGCUGACUCUGUUGCAAUUGACAGGCCUUUUAUAUCGAUGAUACCAUCACUCCGGCAGCAGGGAAGCCUGUGAGCAAUAUGCAACAAAACAGUGCAUUGGUGCUGGGGAAGUAUAGCUGACUCUGUUGCAAUUGACAGGCCUUUUAUAUUGAUGAUACCAUCACUCCGGCAGCAGGGAAGCCUGUGAGCAAUAUGCAAAUGCCACCUUCUGGAUCUUCUGUGAUCAAUCCUAUUACAUCUUUGAAAUCUACGGCUCAAGGAAGGAGUGUAGCUAUGUCAGACCAGAUGACUUGUCAGGGAGCUCCGCAGCACAACCAAAUCAACAGAACCUCUCCCACUCCACAGCUCCACUCUCUUCAGCGAAUUCCUGCUCAAAACCGUAUUCAACCUCCAGCAGUUAGUCCAAUGUCCGGGUAGUAAUUCUCUAGCCUCUUCUCCACGAAAAACUGCUUUGUCACUAACUUCUUAUGAAGCUGGUGAAGCAGAGACUGCUGCAGAAUCAAGUAAUCCAGAACAGCAUUGGUUGAAAAGGGAAAAGGCAUAAUUCAAGGAAAUAAAAGAGGAUCUUUUCUUUAUGGUGGGACGCAGGUUAUGGGAGCCACAUGGAAUAUGGGUGUUGGGCAUGGUGAUCAGAACUUCCUUGGAUCACCAACCUUUUUGCCAGCUUUGGAAUAAAGGAAGAUUUGCUGAAAAGAAUUGCUUUGAUAUCUAGUCCCAGAAACAAGAACUGAUGGGGUUUGACCAACAUUUUCUUCUCUCAAACUGAAAUAAAACAUUGAUCACAUGGGUUCCUUCUGUUUUGUUCUGGUUUGUCAGGUCAGAAAUGCAGUGACCAAUGCUUUUCACGUCUUUUCAGCUGGUUCUCUCUUUUGCUUCUUUUGGCAGGCAACUGGCAUCACCUCUGUUGCAGCCAUCACAUGAUGCUUUGCUCUUUUAAUUAACAGUGGCUUAGACUGCCCUGUUGAUGUUCAUUCGGUCCGUUUAUUGAUGCUUCUCAUUUGAUCCUUCUUUUGACUCCGCCCUCGUCUACUCAAACCUGCUCGUGCUUUCGCCCUUUUUUGUUCCGUUUGUUAUGACUUUGCAUUGUUUUCCUUCAUUUAGCGGCCUGCUCAGGCAGCUCCUUUUAAGUUCGUUUCCUACACUUCUCUGACAGCUGCACACAGCAUUGUCUCCCUGCAGGGUCACUGGCUUCCCAGCCUUGCCUGCGCUCAGACACCCGCGUCCAGACGUGUGGCUUCUGUGCACAACAUGUGGAUCCAUGCUUGCCUGCUCUGCUGCAAUUUCAGUGCCCCUGUGGCUGUCACCUGCUGUUCUUUUUAGUGCAUUGCAUGUACUUUUUUGCUCUUGCCGAGGCAAGAAGAACAUUGCCUAAAUGCCACUGUCGUCAAUUUCUGCUGAAUUUUCUCUAAAUGCUUGAUUGCAAUAUUUAUCGUUUUUUAGCAAUGAUGGUUAUCCUUUUAAGAUUCUACAGACAAAUUCUUUCGGCUUUCCUCCACUAUCCCUCAACGUGAUCUAAAUCAUUGCACAAUCGAAAGAGAACGCCCGCGGUGAAGUGCUUCCAUUUUUCUAAAGGGUGGCUCAAGAAUGCUGGGGUUCAGUUUGUGUUUUGUUUGUCAAUUUCUUUGCAUCAGAUCAUUUACUUUCAAGAUUUUCAGAUUUAAUUGGAAAAUGGUAGUUUGCUGGUUGAUUUAUUAUUUCUUACCAUUUGAAGUGUUUUACCAGACACUUGCUGAAAUUAAUGUUAUAUGAUAUCAAUUUUUCUGAGUCUUACGUUCAUUUAUGUGUUGAAUUUUCUUCUCUUUUCAUGUAUUUGCUUUUCAUUUUGCUUGUGCUAAGCUGCUUCAUCUUCAUUGACUGACAAGGGAUUAUUUUAGUCAUUCUUGUAAUAUUUUGAAAUAAAGAAAGAAGGUUUGAUAGGAAAUGACAACAAUAUCCUUAGAAGAGUAAGUUUUAGGUGUAUAUGGAUGAAGGACAUUUUAGUAAUUGAAUAAAGAGGUGGUAAAUAUAAAAGGAAGAAGAGAAAAGGAAACGAGGAGAAGACUUGUAUUUGAAGAGAGGAACCGUAAGUAGAAGAGAAAGAAGAGGAGAUAAAGGAAGGAGAAGAGAGUUAGGGAAAAUAAAUUUAAAAGAUAAAAUUUAUGUUUUGAUAUGUAAAAUUGCUAGUAUUAAUUAAGAUUGUGAAUUUGUUGAAGAUCAAUGUUUUGAAGAUUUUGAUUUGGGUUUGAAUAAUGAGUUGAUUAGAAUAUUAUGGGUUAAUUGAUAUAGGUAAUGAUUUAUUUAGUUGAUUUGGGAAGAUUUUGAGUAAAGAUGAUUUUGAGUUAUGUUUUGUUUAAAAGAUAAAUUUGAGCUAGAUGUAGAUCAGUAGGUGAUCUGUGAAAAAAUCCGAGUUUAGGGUUAAAGAUAACGAGAUUUCAGUCUAGUCCCUCAAUUUAUAAAGAUUACAGUUUAGUCCUUGAACUUUGGAAAAAUUAUGGUUUUGUCCCUGGAGCUAAAUUCGAGAUUCUGGACAGAAUUUAGGAUGAGUUAUGGGCAACAUCUUAGUAUAGUUAUGAAUUUAUGAUAUUUUUAGUUUUGUCCUCUAAUUUGGUAAAAUUACAAGUUUAACCCCUAAAAAUCUAAGAAAAAUUCAGAUUGGUCCCUAGCUGAAAUUAUAGUUUUUCAGAUUGGUUUUGAUGAAUAAUUGUGGUUUCUUGAUGAAUUAUUAUCAAAUUUUAUGUUUUGUUUCCUUUUGAAAUAGAUUUCGGAAAACCAUUUGAUUUUUUGGUUUUUGAGAAAAAGGACAGGUUUGGUUCAUAAACAUAUAGGCUAUAAGGUUAUGAGUUAGACCCUAAGCUAAGUGUAUUAAAUAGAUUGUACAUUCUUUUUUAGUUGUUUUUUAAUAUGUCUCAUUUUGUAUUCAAAUAUUCUUGAUGUUCUACUUGUGAAACAUCAAUAGGAUUGCCUUCAGUAUAUGCCUCCGUGUUAUUUUUAAUUUUGAGUUAGGUGAGUGAAUAAUUUUUUAUAUGCUAGAAGAUUAGUAUAAAUACUUGAAUUGUUAAUAUGAAAUUAACCGUGCUUCUUGAUAAUUCUUAUAUUGUUAUUUAUUCCUUGUUUAUUAUUAAACAUGAUUAUUUAUUGAAACUGAAUCUCUUAUAUGAACUAUUAUGUACUUCUGAAUUGAUAGUUUUUCGUUUGACUGAUGUCAUGAGUUGAGUUUUGAGAUAUGAAUCUGUCUGUGUGAUUAUAAUAUGGACAUAUAGUAUGUUAGUUAGAAUACUCAUGUUAAUAGGGUAGUGUUAGUUUUUAUGCACAUCGUAUCUGGAUUCUAAUUGGUCCGGAGAGUCACCAACUUGUGGCGACCAAUUAUCCUACAGUAUGGAGCAUCAUGCUCAUUACUUUUUGAUUUUCUAAUGUGCUUUAUUUUAUGAUAUUUUUGUUAUGGUUUAUUUGAGAAACUUUGUUGUAAGAACUUAAAGCCAUAUUUGUAUAUAUAUUCCUCAUUGUUGUAAUAUCUCAUGUACGUAUAUUGAACCCUCUCGUUACUUAUCUUUUUCAGGUUUAUAGUUUAUUAGCAUGAUUUUUUAGUUGAAAUUGGUACUUUUUUAUUAUGUCUAGUUAGUACUCUAUAAUUAUGAUAUUUGUUUUAACUUUUUUAUUAAAAUAAUUAAUUUAUAUUAUGAGAUUAGUUAUGUUAUUAUGUUGUGUAGAAUUUUGUUUUGUUUAUAUAGGUGAAAACGUUUGUAUGUAAGUUUGGGAUAUAUAAUUUGGAAACCUAGAGGAACCUUUUCUUAUGCGCCGGCACCUAGUUUGGGUUCCAUAGCUUGACUUCUGCUUCCCCUCCUUUUUGUCCUACCGGAUCUUCAAACAAAGACAUUACUUUAAGAAAAAAAAAAGAAAAUGUAUGGUGCAAGCACAAGCAAGAAUCUUCGCACUCCUGUCAAACAGUGCAUUGGUGCGGGGGGAGAAUAUAGCUGACUCUGUUACAAUUGACACGCUUUAUAUUGAUGAUACCGUCACUCCUCCGACAGCAGGGAAGCUUUUGAGCAAUAUGAAAAUGCCCCCUUCUGUGGUCAAUUCUAUUCCAUCUUCGCAAUCCAGGGCUCAAGGAAGGAUUGUAGCUAUGUCAGGCCAGAUGACUUAUCAGGGAGGGAGCUCCGCAGCACAACCAAAUCAACAGAACCUCUCCCACUCCACCGCUCCACUCUCUUCAGCGAAUCCCUGCUCAAAACCGUAGUCAACCUCCUGCUCAGCAGAAGUCCAAUGUCCUGGUAGUGAUUCUCAAGCCUCUUCUCCACCAAAAAUUCAGGGAAAUAGAAGAGGAUCUUUUCUAUAUGGUGGGACACAGGUUAUGGGAGCCACAAGGAACGCGGGUGUUGGGCAUGGUGAUCAGAACUUCCCUGGAACAACCUUCUUUUUAGCCAGUUAUGCAAUUUGGUGGUCAGCAUCUUGGUGGUCUUGGAGUUCCUGCGCUUGCCAUGGCGUUUCCCGGAUAUGUUGCUCAGCCGAAAUGACAUGGUAUGCUCAGAAUGGCUGUCAGAUUUUUGGUUUUACCUCGGAUCUUGCAUGGUCUAGGGGUGUGCUGUCAUUGUUCCCUUAAGUGGCAAAUUGAUGCUUCUGAUGAAGCGGAUGUUUUCCGUUGGUGCAAUGAGAUCAUUAUGAUUCAGCUACUCCAAAAAAAAAAACAGAAAAGAAAAGAAACUGAUUGCUUAUUGUGCUCUGUUAUAAACACUAGUGUUUUUCAUUGUCGUGCAUCAGUUUUCUAAAUUUCCUCAGGAUUCCUGUAUAUUCUAAGCAGCAAAUACAUAACCUUUUCUGACUUUGGCAGUGUGACCUGCCUGUUUUUUUU